AGAUACCUAGUGUAUAGUAUAAACAGGGAUAUAUAACUGCUAAAAAGGUGGUUCAGUAGGUAGAAUGGAUGAAUAGUCAGAAAAAGUAGUUAUCAUCUGUAGUAUAGGAGUUGGUAUCUCGAGGUAGUAUAAGGAAGAUGGGAGAGGGGAAGAAAAUGCGAGAUUGCGAUAGUACUGAGCCAGGAAUAAGCUUGGUGCUAUCUCUUCUUUUUAAUUUUCUUGUUUCUUUU
rnacentral:lncRNA from 1 species